UCGCAAAUGUCUAGACUUUUCUUUUAAGGUCUUAACAAAGUCAUUCCCAAAAUAUUUGAGUUUCCCUACGAACGAAAUAGUUCUGUUCUGGCGAUUAUAUGUUCAAGUUUUACCAGAACUCUGCGUCGAAUAUGAACAGCCACUAAAUGCGAGGAUAAUGAGAAACAGAAUUUGGAGAAUCAAUUGUAUAUUUGUUUUAAAGAAGUCUCUACUACACAGACUGUACUUUAAGCUGUGCCUGUGCCGAACUUCAAACCGAAGAUCCUCUGUGAAGUAAUCCAACAGUUGGACAAUUGGAGAAUAAAUCUUCAACGGCAUUGCGGCCAUCAAGUUGGCCAAAGACAGACACAGGCCUCUGCUGUUGAACGAAUUAUGGCGAAUGUGCAACAAACUUGCCAGAAAAUUAGGUUAAACAGAAAAAAUAGUAAUCACCGAAACGCACAUGGGGCCAGGCGGCCAGGACAGGACCGUUCCGCUGCCAUGUGGCAACCGAAUGUGGCUGCUGCUGCUGGCUGCUGUCUGCUGCCUUGCCCGCCGGUGGGUUUCUGGUCCAACAAAUUGCCGCGAAUUAAGACCGUCGCACAAAAACUAUAAACAACAAAAAUCCCCGGCAGGUGGUAGGACCAGGCCAGAGCCCGCCAUCAGCAGCAGUUGAAGACAUUUUUAAAUCAGAUUCGAUUUGCGUCUUGGCAUUUGGCGAUUUACGGAUCGGAGACUCUGGGAAUCGGCCUGGGCUCUUCCUCCACUCCACAUCAUUUUCCAAUUGCGUAAGCAGCUGAGCUGGGAAAAUGUCCAAGAGAAUAGCUGGCCUUCUGAGGCCAGCAAUCAAGGGAAUAUAUUUUAGAAAGUUAAUUAUUGAUGAUUGAACUGAAGGAUUUCCCAGUUCUCUUUAGAGCAGUAUCGUGUUCUGGCCGGAUCAGGCCAUCAGUUGGUUGGAGGAGCAUUCCGCCAACCCCAGAUGCUUUCCACAGUCGCACCUUGACUUUGAGAAGCAGCCUAGUCCCUGGUUCCUCAAGAUAUUGCAACUAACAAAAGGGUAUUAUAGUGUUGCAGCACGUGUGCCGCGACUUCAAACUGUUGUACAUAAUAUAUAUAUAUAGACCCUAACUGAAGGAAUGGGUUAAGUCUGUCUACAUAGCCGCACAUGAAAAUACCAAGGAAAUUCAAAUACUUAUAUGUAAUAUAUAUAAACCCUGGGACUUCAAUGAAAUUCUAGCUUCAGCUACUCAAAAACAGACCACGUAAUGCAAUUCUAAGCAAAAAUGCUAUAGUUGGACAGCCGCUGGCUAUGGUCGUGUGAACACACGUGCUUACAUAACGUCAGCGCCCGCCCGUCGUUCUGUCGUGUCUUCCUUUGGCAGUGCAGUGGCUGAGGUUUUAUACGAACGCACUUUGAGGACAAAACGGAAAAACGUUUUUCAACUUCCAUGGAAUUUUCGGUGAUUGGAUAAUAAUUUUCUCGCGCCGCCAGCGCUUCCUGUGCUCUCUUUCUCUCUCUCUCUCUGUAGGAGAUCAAGGGGACAGGAACAUAAGAUUUUCCCGGAAUUUUUGAUAAGCGGCAAGUUUUUAUUUUCUUAAUGAAUCUGUCAGUGUUCUGCUCAAGACUCGAGACGCACAAGUAAAAUGUCCCAAAAGAACCUA